rnacentral:rRNA from 1 species
GAUGAACGCUGGCGGCGUGCCUAAUACAUGCAAGUCGAGCGAACAGACGAGGAGCUUGCUCCUCUGACGUUAGCGGCGGACGGGUGAGUAACACGUGGAUAACCUACCUAUAAGACUGGGAUAACUUCGGGAAACCGGAGCUAAUACCGGAUAAUAUAUUGAACCGCAUGGUUCAAUAGUGAAAGACGGUUUUGCUGUCACUUAUAGAUGGAUCCGCGCCGCAUUAGCUAGUUGGUAAGGUAACGGCUUACCAAGGCAACGAUGCGUAGCCGACCUGAGAGGGUGAUCGGCCACACUGGAACUGAGACACGGUCCAGACUCCUACGGGAGGCAGCAGUAGGGAAUCUUCCGCAAUGGGCGAACGCCUGACGGAGCACCGCCGCGUGAGUGAUGAAGGUCUUCGGAUCGUAAAACUCUGUUAUUAGGGAAGAACAAAUGUGUAAGUAACUAUGCACGUCUUGACGGUACCUAAUCAGAAAGCCACGGCUAACUACGUG